AGGUUAACCGUAUAGGGGAGCCGUAGGGAAACCGAGUCUUAACUGGGCGAAUGAGUUGCAGGGUAUAGACCCGAAACCCGGUGAUCUAUCCAUGGGCAGGUUGAAGGUUGGGUAACACUAACUGGAGGACCGAACCGACUAAUGUUGAAAAAUUAGCGGAUGACUUGUGGAUGGGGGUGAAAGGCCAAUCAAACCGGGAGAUAGCUGGUUCUCCCCGAAAGCUAUUUAGGUAGCGCCUCGUGAACUCAUCUUCGGGGGUAGAGCACUGUUUCGACUAGGGGGUCAUCCCGACUUACCAACUCGAUGCAAACUGCGAAUACCGAAGAAUGUUAUCACGGGAGACACACGGCGGGUGCUAACGUCCGUCGUGAAGAGGGAAACAACCCAGACCGCCAGCUAAGGUCCCAAAGUCAUGGUUAAGUGGGAAACGAAGUGGGAAGGCUCAGACAGCCAGGAUGUUGGCUUAGAAGCAGCCAUCAUUUAAAGAAAGCGUAAUAGCUCACUGGUCGAGUCGGCCCGCGCGGAAGAUGUAACGGGGCUAAACCAUGCACCGAAGCUGCGGCAGCGACACAAAGUGUUGUUGGGUAGGGGAGCGUUCUGUAAGCCUGCGAAGGUGUACUGUGAGGUAUGCUGGAGGUAUCAGAAGUGCGAAUGCUGACAUAAGUAACGAUAAUGCGGGUGAAAAACCCGCACGCCGGAAGACCAAGGGUUCCUGUCCAACGUUAAUCGGGGCAGGGUGAGUCGACCCCUAAGGCGAGGCUGAAAAGCGUAGUCGAUGGGAAACGGGUUAAUAUUCCCGUACUGGUGGUAACUGCGAUGGGGGAACGGAGAAGGCUAGGUUGUCCGGGCGACGGUCGUCCCGGUUCAAGCAGGUAGGCAGAGUGAUUAGGCAAAUCCGGUCACUUAAUGCUGAGAUGUGAUGACGAACCACCAAGGUGGUGAAGCAAUUGAUGCCCCGCUUCCAGGAAAAGCCUCUAAGCUUCAGGUUACCAACAAUCGUACCCCAAACCGACACAGGUGGUCAGGUAGAGAAUACUCAGGCGCUUGAGAGAACUCGGGUGAAGGAACUAGGCAAAAUGGUGCCGUAACUUCGGGAGAAGGCACGCUGGCGGUAGGUAAAGUCCCUCGCGGACGGCGCUGAAGCCAGUCGAAGAUACCAGCUGGCUGCAACUGUUUAUUAAAAACACAGCACUGUGCAAACACGAAAGUGGACGUAUACGGUGUGACGCCUGCCCGGUGCUGGAAGGUUAAUUGAUGGGGUUAGCGUAAGCGAAGCUCCUGAUCGAAGCCCCAGUAAACGGCGGCCGUAACUAUAACGGUCCUAAGGUAGCGAAAUUCCUUGUCGGGUAAGUUCCGACCUGCACGAAUGGCGUAAUGAUGGCCAGGCUGUCUCCACCCGAGACUCAGUGAAAUUGAACUCGCUGUGAAGAUGCAGUGUACCCGCGGCAAGACGGAAAGACCCCGUGAACCUUUACUAUAGCUUGACACUGAACAUUGAGCCUUGAUGUGUAGGAUAGGUGGGAGGCUUUGAAGUGUGGACGCCAGUCUGCAUGGAGCCAACCUUGAAAUACCACCCUUUAACGUUUGAUGUUCUAACCUAGGCCCAUAAACUGGGUCGGGGACCGUGUCUGGUGGGUAGUUUGACUGGGGCGGUCUCCUCCUAAAGAGUAACGGAGGAGCACGAAGGUUGGCUAAGCAUGGUCGGACAUCAUGCGGUUAGUGCAAAGGCAUAAGCCAGCUUGACUGCGAGAGUGACGGCUCGAGCAGGUACGAAAGUAGGUCUUAGUGAUCCGGUGGUUCUGAAUGGAAGGGCCAUCGCUCAACGGAUAAAAGGUACUCCGGGGAUAACAGGCUGAUACCGCCCAAGAGUUCAUAUCGACGGCGGUGUUUGGCACCUCGAUGUCGGCUCAUCACAUCCUGGGGCUGAAGUAGGUCCCAAGGGUAUGGCUGUUCGCCAUUUAAAGUGGUACGCGAGCUGGGUUUAGAACGUCGUGAGACAGUUCGGUCCCUAUCUGCCGUGGGCGUUGGAAGAUUGAGAGGGGUUGCUCCUAGUACGAGAGGACCGGAGUGAACGCACCACUGGUGUUCGGGUUGUCAUGCCAAUGGCAUUGCCCGGUAGCUAAGUGCGGAAGAGAUAACCGCUGAAAGCAUCUAAGCGGGAAACUUGCCUCGAGAUGAGUCUUCCCUGUCGCUUUAAGCGACCUAAAGGAACGUUUAAGACUAAGACGUUGAUAGGCUGGGUGUGUAAGCGUAGCGAUACGUUGAGCUAACCAGUACUAAUGAACCGUGAGGCUUAACCUG
rnacentral:rRNA from 1 species